rnacentral:lncRNA from 1 species
UUCAUCUCAUCCAUGUUAUUGAAAUUGCAAAUACCUGGUGAUGUUUCUCAAGGCACUUGAAAGCUCAUGUAGGAAAUUUAUGCAAGUUAGGAUCCUGGGAAGUGGCUUGACCAGUGAUAGGUGCAUGAAAGGUUGAACAAUAGAGGAAACUAAACAAAAAUAUGAAAAAAAUAAAUAGAUAAACUUAAUCAUAAGUGAGAGGGAGAGGAAGAGGAAGCUUAAAAAAGAGAAGAAAUGAAAAGGAGAAGUAUGGACUCAUGGAUGAGGGUGAGAGGAGAGAGAUGGUGCACCUCUUAUUGUUGCCUGCUUCUAGAAAGUAACAAGAAUUUUCUUGUUGGAUGUUCUAUAAAUGCAACAAAUUACUCAGUCCCAAUUUAUGCGAUUCACUUCCCUUUUUUAGUUUUUUCUAAAAAAGAAAGAUACUUUUUAAUAUUUAGAAAUAAUUUCAACUUUAAAUUUUCCAUUUUACCUUCAUUGAAAUGAUUUAUAGCCACACAAAUAUCUAUGACUUUUGUUAGAGAACAAAUUUGAAAAUUCUAUCUCUCUGACUUAAACUCCAUACCUAAUUAAAAUGCAUCACAAAAUGGGAGUAGUUGAGUAUAUGAUUGGUUAAAUUUAUAGCUAUAUCUGGUAUAAAUACUAAUCUAGUUCAUUUUAUGCUGAGAAUAGUAAGUGGUGAAGUUGGAAGCAUGUUUAAUGGAAAUUUAAACAAGAAAUGCUACUGAGAGUGAUAGUAUAGAAUGACAUGGCUCUUACCAAUUAUGAGAAGAGAGAAGCUCAAAGUUGACACUCUUCAUCUCCUAAAGUAGCAAAAUUCCACCAUGCUGUGGUUGUCCAUAUCAGUUUAUGAGAGUGUAUUUGAUGAAGUAGUUUCGUUGAUGGCAUGCAUCCAAAAGAGAGUGUGCUAUGGAAGGCUG